GAUGAAGAACGCAGCGAAAUGCGAUAAGUAAUGUGAAUUGCAGAAUUGAGUGAAUCAUCGAAUCUUUGAACGCACAUUGCGCCCCCUGGUAUUCCGGGGGGCAUGCCUGUUCGAGCGUCAUUUCACCACUCAAGCCUCGCUUGGUAUUGGGCAACGCGGUCCGCCGCGUGCCUCAAAUCGACCGGCUGGGUCUUCUGUCCCCUAAGCGUUGUGGAAACUUUCGCUAAAGGGUGUUCGGGAGGCUACGCCGUAAAACAACCCCAUUUCUAAGGUUGACCUCGGAUCAGGUAGGGAUACCCGCUGAACUUAAGCAUAUCAAUAAGCGGAGGA
rnacentral:misc_RNA from 1 species